UAGAAUUUUAAUUUAAGAGCACAUAAUGGAUGCCUUGCUUUUGAAAGCCGAAGAAGGACGUACUAGGCUGCGAUAAGUCUCGGGAAGGCGCCAAGAGCCGUUAUUAUCCGGGAAUUUCCGAAUGGGGCAACCCUUCUACCUGAUGGUAGAAACUCCUAUCUGAAUCUAUAGGAUAGAGAGAGGUAAGUCAGCGAACUGAAACAUCUAAUGUAACUGGAGUAAAAUAAAUCAAAAGAGAUUCCGUAAGUAGUGGCGAGCGAAAGCGGAAUAGCCCAAACCUCGAUGCAAAUCGAGGGGUUGUAGGACCUACAUAUACAAGUUUUAAAAAAAUGAUUGGUAGCAGAACAGUCUGGAAAGACUGACUAUAAAAAGUGAUAGUCUUGUAUGCAAAAUCGAUCAAUCUUGUGUAGGAUUCCUGAGUACCACGAGACACGUGAAAUCUUGUGGGAAUCUGGGAAGACCACUUUCCAAGGCUAAAUACUUUCAAAAGCGAUAGUGAACAAGUACCGUGAGGGAAAGGUUAAAAGAACCCCGGUGAGGGGAGUGAAAUAGAACCUGAAAUUAUGUUGCUUACAAGACGAGUAAAGCCUCGCUUUAUGCGGGGUAAUACUGUGCCUAUUGAAGAAUGAGCCGGCGAGUAGUUUUAGUCUGUUUAAAGUUAAGUCACUAAGUGACGGAGCUGUAGCGAAAGCGAGUGUGAAUAGCGCGAUCAAAAAUAGAUUAAAUCUGACCCGAAACUGAGUGAGCCACCCAUGGCCAGGACGAACCCGUUGUAAAAGACGGGGGAGGUCCGAACCCGUGUAUGUUGCAAAAUGCUGGGACGAGCUGUGGGUAGUGGUAAAAUGUCUAUCGAACUCAGAGAUAGCUGGUUCUCCCCGAAAUAGCUUUAGGGCUAGCGGUUAUUAUUAUGAGACGGGGGUAGAGCUACUGAAUAGACUUUGAGGACGCAAGUCUUCAGGUCUAACCAAACUCCGAAUACCGUUUCUUUCAUAUAACUAGUCAGUCUAUCAGGGCUAAGCUUGGUAAGACAAAAGGGAAACAACCCUCAUCGUCAGAUAAGGUCCCUAAAUUAUACUUAGUGUAGAAGGCAGUAGAAAAACAUAAACAACCAGGAGGUUGGCUCAGAGGCAGCCAUCCUUUAAAGAGUGCGUAAUAGCUCACUGGUCGAUGCUUUUUUGCGCCUAAAAUGUAAGGGGGCUCAAGUAUAAUACCGAAUCUGCGGAUUUACUGAAAACUUCGGUUUUUAGUAAGUGGUAGGGGAGCGUUCUUUAUUGCAGUGAAGCAUAAUCGUAAGGUUGUGUGGAGCAUAAAGAAGUGAGAAUGCCGGCAUGAGUAGCGCGUUGCCAGUUAAAUUCUGGCACACCUAAAGUCCAAGGUUUCCUCCGCAACGUCAAUCGACGGAGGGUCAGUCGGGCCUAAGCUGAGGCCGAAAGGCGUAAGCGAUGGACAAGCCGUUUAUAUUCGGCUACUUUAGGGUGUUCGUCAUAGUAAUGGGUUGACAAAGAUAGAUAGCCAAGUGGAUCAUCGGAAAUGACUCCAUCCAAACGUCGAGAAAGUAAAGAUUGGUAAAUCCGUUUUUACGGUUAUUUAAGACGUGAUAGUUCCGUGUGGUUAAAAACCUAGCGGAAUUGGACCCUAUUUAUUUUUCAAGAAAAUACUCUAGCGACUCUAACGCAAGUUAGAACGAACAUCAGAAACCCGUACCUUAAACCGACGCUGGUGGACGAGUUGAGUAUACGAAGGUGUACGAGAGAACUACUGCUAAGGAACUCGGCAAAUUAAUGGCGUAACUUCGGGAGAAGCCAUCCCUUUCUUGUACUUUUGUAUGAGGAAGGGCGCAGAGAAAUAGCCCAAGCGACUGUUUAGCAAAAACACAGGUCUCCGCAAAACCGUAAGGUGAUGUAUGGGGGCUGACGCCUGCCCAGUACCGGGAUGUUAAACGCGGAGGUUACCUCACUUUUGUGGGGGAAGCUUUCAACUGAAGCACCGGUGAACGGCGGCCGUAACUAUAACGGUCCUAAGGUAGCGAAACCCCUUGUCGGGUAAGUUCCGACCUGCAUGAAAGGCGUAACGACUUGGGCGCUGUCUCCAGCAGUAGACUCGGCGAAAUUGCAAUAUGCGUAAAGAUGCGCAUUACCUGUACCAGGACAAAAAGACCCCGUGGAGCUUUACUGUAGCUUGACACUGAGUCAGGAUUUAGAAUGUGUAGAAUAGGUGGGAGCCUUCGGGCGCCAGUGAAAUACCACUCUUUUUGAAUUUUGAUUCUUAUCAUAAACCGUGAAUCCGGUUUAGGAGACAAUGUUUGGCAGACAGUUUGACUGGGGCGGUCGCCUCCAAAAGAGUAACGGAGGUGCACAAAGGUUGGCUUAUCGCCUAUGGAAAUGGCGAGUUAAGCGUAAGGGUAAAAGCCAGCUUGAUUGCGAGACUUACAAGUCAAGCAAGGUGGAAACACGGUCUUAAUGAUCCUUAGGCGGCACGUGGAAGUGCCUAAGCUUAUCGGAUAAAAGCUACCCCGGGGAUAACAGAGUUAUCGAUCCCAAGAGUUCAUAUCGACGGAUCGGUUUGCUACCUCGAUGUCGGCUCGUCGUAUCCUGGGGCUGUACAAGGUCCCAAGGGUUGGUCUGUUCGCCCAUUAAAACGGCACGUGAGCUGGGUUCAGAACGUCGUGAGACAGUUCGGUCUCUAUCCGGUACAGGCGUUAAUUUUUGAGGAGAGCUAUCCCUAGUACGAGAGGACCGGGAUGGACGAAUCUCUAGUGUAUCAGUUGUAGAGCCUUCUGCAUCGCUGAGUAGCUAUAUUCGUAAUGGAUAAGCGCUGAAAGCAUCUAAGCGCGAAGCCAACUCCAAGAUCAGAAAUUUUUGACUCCAGGAAGACUACCUGGUAAAAAAGCCUGUCGUAAGACAGGACGGAUAGGCGGUCGGUGUAAGCCCUGUAAAGGGUUAAGCCAAGCCGUACUAAGUGUCUAUAAGAAAUUCUAAA
rfam:Candidate division CPR3 bacterium GW2011_GWF2_35_18 TR67_C0003, whole genome shotgun sequence.